AUACACCUCUUCUUUCUCGGUCCGUCUUAUUUUCCAACUGUACAUGUGAAGCGGAAGCAGAAUAUAUAUACUACGUCCAUGCAGUUCUAAUCAGUAUUGUCUGUUGUGAAUGCUUGCCUGCCUUGCAGUGUGCUGUCGGAUAUUGAAUAGAAACUUGAGAUUACGGUCGUUAGGUUCCUGGUCUCGGAGCAAUAUAACGUUAUGUCUUGGUCAGCAGCUGGGCAGUCAGCAUAACGUUUGGUCCUGGUCUCGGAGCAAUAUAACGUUAUGUCUUGGUCAGCAGCUGGGCAGUCAGCAUAACGUUUGGGCGACAUAACGUUUGGGGACAGGUCUUUUCUGAAACCAAGUCUUCGGUCUGUCCCUG
rnacentral:lncRNA from 1 species